UCAUCUAAUCCUUUAAGUAUUGUACCCAUAGCAACAUGCAUAGGACUAUGAAUUUAACUUACCAGUGGCCAGCCACUGUCCAAACUUCCGCAGUACUUUUGUUAAGCCACACCCAUCUGGUACAAAACAUGCUUUCCAAGGAAAUGGGCAGCUUUGAAGGUCAGAUUGGGUUUUGGCCCAUCACUUUUCAAGUGUAUUCUAGAGCACUACUAACAGUACCAUGCCUCACAAAAUGACAGUACAAUAGAGUAUUAAUCGUGAUCAAAUUAGGUAUAAUCUACUUAAGGCAUGCAGUGGCUUUAGCUGAACAUGCCUCCUUACAGCCGAUACAUUUGGAAUUUGGUAUAACUAAAGAAAAUUGGCAGCAAAGCAAAUGGUCCUUCAAU